AAAACAGCAAUCCAAUUCAGACUUGUUGGGUAGACUCUCAUGGAAUAUUGAUCAUGAGAACUUCUCUUUUUUUCCACCAGACAUGGACAAAGAGUUCUCUGUUGUGUGCAUCGUGAUAGAACCAAAGGCCCAAAGAACGAGGCUAUAGCCUCAUAUGCUCUGUACUACCUCCUGAGGACAAUGCAGGUAUUGUAAAUGUCAGAAACAUAUUGGCCACAGGACUGGAAAAAGUCAGUUUUCAUUCCAAUCCCAAAGAAAGGCAAUGCCAAAGAAUGCUCAAACUACCGCACAAUUGCACUCAUCUCACAUGCUAGUAAAGUAAUGCUCAAAAUUCUCCAAGCCAGGCUUCAGCAAUAUGUGAACCGUGAACUUCCUGAUGUUCAAGCUGGUUUUAGAAAAGGCAGAGGAACCAGAGAUCAAAUUGCCAACAUCCGAUGGAUCAUGGAAAAAGCAAGAGAGUUCCAGAAAAACAUCUAUUUCUGCUUUAUUGACUAUGUCAAAGCCUUUGACUGUGUGGAUCACAAUAAACUGUG
ensembl:lncRNA